GACGAACGCUGGCGGCGUGCUUAACACAUGCAAGUCGAACGAUGACGACCGAGCUUGCUCGGUCUGAUUAGUGGCGAACGGGUGAGUAACACGUGAGCAACCUGCCCUUCACUCUGGGAUAACCUCGGGAAAUCGGGGCUAAUACCGGAUAUGAGCUCCUGUCGCAUGGCGGGUGUUGGAAAGUUUUUCGGUGAAGGAUGGGCUCGCGGCCUAUCAGUUUGUUGGUGAGGUAGUGGCUCACCGAGGCGAUGACGGGUAGCCGGCCUGAGAGGGCGACCGGCCACACUGGGACUGAGACACGGCCCAGACUCCUACGGGAGGCAGCAGUGGGGAAUAUUGCACAAUAGGCGAAAGCCUGAUGCAGCGACGCCGCGUGAGGGAUGACGGCCUUCGGGUUGUAAACCUCUUUCAGCAGGGAAGAAGCGAAAGUGACGGUACCUGCAGAAGAAGCGCCGGCUAACUACGUG
rnacentral:rRNA from 1 species